AUUGAGCGAGUAUUUACUAUAAUGGAGCAACUUCAAAAGGACCGGAAGCAGACAACGAGACCUACUGAAACCCAAGUUCUGCUGAGCAUACUUGGGGAUAAAAGUAAACUAUCUUUAGCUGCAGAGCUUGUCAGUGAGCUAUGGAGUGCCAUGGUGAAAGCAGAAUACGUUGAGUACCAGGUUUAGUAAGCACAUUGAUCGUGCCAAAGAGUCAAGAAUUCCGUGGAUGAUACUUGUAGGUGAUAAGGAUCUAGAGAAAGGGAUUGUAAAAGUAAAGAAUCUUGAGACCACAGUCGAAGAAGAAGUUCCUAGAAGUACAUUUGUUGAAGAAAUUAAGAGACGGUUGAACCUUUGAAAAUCUCAUCUGGUAGACACAAAACCUGAGCCAUUGUUACCGAAGCAUUUAUAAUUUUGUGGAUGUGGUGGGCAAAGGUAUUGACACCAAAAGCCC
rnacentral:misc_RNA from 1 species